rnacentral:rRNA from 1 species
AGUGAACGCUGGCGGUAGGCCUAACACAUGCAAGUCGAACGGCAGCACAGGAGAGCUUGCUCUCUGGGUGGCGAGUGGCGGACGGGUGAGGAAUACAUCGGAAUCUACCUUGUCGUGGGGGAUAACGUAGGGAAACUUACGCUAAUACCGCAUACGACCUUCGGGUGAAAGUGGGGGACCGCAAGGCCUCACGCGAUUAGAUGAGCCGAUGUCGGAUUAGCUAGUUGGCGGGGUAAAAGCCCACCAAGGCGACGAUCCGUAGCUGGUCUGAGAGGAUGAUCAGCCACACUGGAACUGAGACACGGUCCAGACUCCUACGGGAGGCAGCAGUGGGGAAUAUUGGACAAUGGGCGCAAGCCUGAUCCAGCCAUACCGCGUGGGUGAAGAAGGCCUUCGGGUUGUAAAGCCCUUUUGUUGGGAAAGAAAUCUUGCCGGUUAAUAUCUGGCGAGGAUGACGGUACCCAAAGAAUAAGCACCGGCUAACUUCGUGCCAGCAGCCGCAGUAACAC